AACGAACGCUGGCGGCAUGCCUAACACAUGCAAGUCGAACGAGACCACCGGGUCUAGUGGCGCAUGGGUGCGUCACGCGUCGGAAGCUGCCCUUAUGUAUGGAAUACCUCCCCGAAAGGGGUGCUAAUACCGGAUAAUGUCUUCUGACCAAAGAUUUAUCGCCCUUGGAUGGGCACGCGUUGGAUUAGCUUGUUGGUAGGGUAAAAGCCUACCACGGCGACGAUCCAUAGCUGGUCUGAGAGGAUGCUCCGCCACACUGGGACUGAGACACGGCCCAGACUCCUACGGGAGGCAGGAGUGGGGAAUAUUGGAAAAUCGGCGAAGGGCUGAUGCAGCAAUGCCGGGUAAGUGAUGUAGGCCUUAGGGAUGUAAAGCUCUUUUACCCGGGAUGAUAAUGACGGUACCGGGAGAAUAAGCUCCGGCUAACUCCGUG
rnacentral:rRNA from 1 species